UACGGGGAGGGCGAGUGUUAUUCAGCGUGAUUGGGCGUAAAGGGCAUCUAGGCUGUUUAAUAAGUUCCAAACAAAAUCUUACAGCUCAACUGUAAAUAAGAUUUGUGAAUACUAUUGAACUUGAGUAUAAUAGAAGGUAGCGAUACCUUUAGUGUAAAGGUAAAAUUUGAAGAUACUAAAGGGGUCAUCAACUGGCGAAGGCGGCUAUCUAAUUUAUUACUGACGCUGACGUGCAAAAGCGUGGGGAGCAAACAGG
rnacentral:rRNA from 1 species